UCAUACUUAUAUGUUCAACUAUAGCUAUUUUUACAGCGACAAUUUAACAAAAUUUUUGAUAUUAUUAUUUUCAUUUACAGAAGUGUUCCCUCCCGGAUGGACGGAAAAGUGUAUCGGAUGUAUGUGCGAAGCGUCGUCCGGAUGCAAUCAAACACUCGAAUGCCUGGAACAGAACGGAGUUAAAUACUGCGGCGUGUUCUUGUUAAGUGACGUAUACUGGCAAGACGCGGGAGCUCCGGUACUUCUUGGGGACGAUCCUGCGAGGAUCGGAGGUAAUUCGUUUUUUUUUUUUACAGCUUGCUGUGAAUAAAAAUGAAAAUUAAAAAAAGUCAUAAACGAGUUAUAAUGUACGGAGGUCAAGGAAACUUGGUCACCAAGGAAAAGAGACUAAAGUUAAUUAUUGAUUCUCGAAAGGAAAAUAGAACGGAAGAUCUUUGAAUCAAUAAGGGAUGACGAAGAGUAGAGACGAAGAAUUACAGAGAAUUAUAAAUAAUAUAUGACAAAAAAAAACAUUUUAGAAACCAUCAAAAACGAAAGACUGCGAUAGGUUGGACAUGCGUGAAAAAAUCAAAACCCACUAUGCGGGACAAUACUGAAACAAAACCCGACAGGAAAAAGACCUUUGGAAAACCGAGAAUGAGAUGAAUUUAAAAAGAAUGUGGAAGCUUUAGGAGGUGGACCGAACGGGAAAAUUGUAGAUAAGAGAUAGUUAUAGAAUUACAUACGUGAGACAGGAUGGUCCUACAUAUAUAGAGGCCGAAUAAACCCCAAGUUUGAUAUGGUUACUGAAAAAUAGUAACUAAUAAAAUGAAAAAUUUUAAUUUUAGCGUUUGAAAGAUGCGUCCGAGAUCCGUAUUGUGCGGCGAGAGCAGUAAACCAGUACAUCCAGAGAUACGCCAAGGUAAAAUAUUAAAUGAUAUAAUAUAUUAUCUCUAAAAAAAAAAUAA